rnacentral:lncRNA from 1 species
UAGGAUCAUCAUGAGGAUGGUGACAGAUCCGGAUAAACUGACGCAUAAAUCGCUUCCUUAGGGAUAGAUGGAUCUUUAAUCUACUGUGUAGAGACACAGGACGACGAAUGCGGAUUGUUGUUAGAGAACAACUACCACUGAGCGUGACCAUACAAGAGAUCAUUUGGAUUUCUAUUCAAUCGUCAAUGAUUGUCUCGAUGCUGUAGUUGUGUGACUGAUCCUUUGACUUGAAAUAAUACUAUUGCUCGCAGUGAGGCUGCUGGAGUUUGAUUGAUACAUAAACAUGGAUCUCACUGAGCUCUUGUAGUGGAUAUUGACGAUAGUUGGUCCACUGUAGGAGUAGGAUACGCAUCAAAAUAAAAUCUAUCAACCUUGAUAGAAAGUAAUCCUAUGGGAUUUGAGAAGCUAAGUCUAUGAAUCUGUGGCCACAGUAGAGUGAUUGAUGAAAAAGAGUUUCCAUA